rnacentral:rRNA from 2 species
AGAGUUUGAUCCUGGCUCAGGAUGAACGCUAGCUACAGGCUUAACACAUGCAAGUCGAGGGGCAGCAUGGUCUUAGCUUGCUAAGACCGAUGGCGACCGGCGCACGGGUGAGUAACGCGUAUCCAACCUGCCUUACACUCUUGGACAGCCUUCUGAAAGGGAGAUUAAUACAAGAUGUUAUCAUGAGUAAGCAUUUUCGCAUGAUUAAAGGUUUACCGGUGUAAGAUGGGGAUGCGUUCCAUUAGAUAGUAGGCGGGGUAACGGCCCACCUAGUCUUCGAUGGAUAGGGGUUCUGAGAGGAAGGUCCCCCACAUUGGAACUGAGACACGGUCCAAACUCCUACGGGAGGCAGCAGUGAGGAAUAUUGGUCAAUGGACGAGAGUCUGAACCAGCCAAGUAGCGUGAAGGAUGAAGGUUCUAUGGAUUGUAAACUUCUUUUAUACGGGAAUAAACGGAUCCACGUGUGGAUUUUUGCAUGUACCGUAUGAAUAAGGAUCGGCUAACUCCGUGCCAGCAGCCGCGGUAAUACGGAGGAUCCGAGCGUUAUCCGGAUUUAUUGGGUUUAAAGGGAGCGUAGAUGGGUUGUUAAGUCAGUUGUGAAAGUUUGCGGCUCAACCGUAAAAUUGCAAUUGAUACUGGCAGUCUUGAGUACAGUUGAGGUAGGCGGAAUUCGUGGUGUAGCGGUGAAAUGCUUAGAUAUCACGAAGAACUCCGAUUGCGAAGGCAGCUUACUAACCUGUAACUGACAUUGAUGCUCGAAAGUGUGGGUAUCAAACAGGAUUAGAUACCCUGGUAGUCCACACGGUAAACGAUGAAUACUCGCUGUAGGCGAUAUACGGUCUGUGGCCAAGCGAAAGCAUUAAGUAUUCCACCUGGGGAGUACGCCGGCAACGGUGAAACUCAAAGGAAUUGACGGGGGCCCGCACAAGCGGAGGAACAUGUGGUUUAAUUCGAUGAUACGCGAGGAACCUUACCCGGGCUUAAAUUGCAACCGAAUAUGGCGGAAACGCUAUAGCUAGCAAUAGCGGUUGUGAAGGUGCUGCAUGGUUGUCGUCAGCUCGUGCCGUGAGGUGUCGGCUUAAGUGCCAUAACGAGCGCAACCCUUGCCGAUAGUUACUAACAGGUCAUGCUGAGGACUCUGUCGGGACUGCCAUCGUAAGAUGUGAGGAAGGUGGGGAUGACGUCAAAUCAGCACGGCCCUUACGUCCGGGGCUACACACGUGUUACAAUGGGGGGUACAGAGGGCUGCUACCACGCAAGUGGAUGCCAAUCCCAAAAACCUCUCUCAGUUCGGAUUGAAGUCUGCAACCCGACUUCAUGAAGCUGGAUUCGCUAGUAAUCGCGCAUCAGCCACGGCGCGGUGAAUACGUUCCCGGGCCUUGUACACACCGCCCGUCAAGCCAUGGGAGCCGGGGGUACCUGAAGUGCGUAACCGCAAGGAGCGCCCUAGGGUAAAACUGGUGACUGGGGCUAAGUCGUAACAAGGUAGCCGUACCGGAAGGUGCGGCUGGAACACCU